GUCAACCGUGACACACAGGAGAGAGUCUGAAGACUAGAAGUGCUCCUACAUUUUCGUGGUACAGCCAAUGACUCUUCCUAGACUCCAUCUCACAUUUCUCGGGCGGCGUGGAGUUGGAAGGCAGCAUGCUGCGACCUCACUGACUGAAGCCGCCUCUAGUUUUACAGGCUCCAGGCAGUGAAGGCUUCUGAGCAGAUACAUCCUGGAGUCAACUUUAUGCUUUAAGAUUAUUUUGACAGCUGAAGAGGGAGGGCUGAAGAAGAAGGUCCUACAACCUGGACGUCUAAUCCAAGUGGUGUUAAAAGCCUGGACCAGAGCGUGCGCCAUUUUGUUAGAGACAAUUUCUGAAAAUGACCACGAGGAAAUAAAUGAGAGGGAGAUUUCAAAGGGAGGGCAGGCUGAAGGGAAGCCUCCCAAAGCCCGGUUUGAUAUCCCUUUCAGAAGCAUCAUUAUGGACCGAAACAACAUGGAAUCAGGCCUGAGGCUUGGUUGUCCAGCCCUACAGCCAGAAAAUAAAGACUGUAAUACAGAAAAACAUAGACUCUUACAAAAAUAACAAUCUGGGCUAAGCCACAGAACUCAAAAAUAGCAUCUGGUUCUUCUGCUAAAAUGUCUUUCUUUCCUGCCAGGCCUAGCCCUGGAGACAGACUCCUACAUUCCUGCUACUGUCCUUCCAAAUAGAAAAAGGGGGACAAAAGGAGGGUGGGGACUAGGGAGGAGGGCAAGGAUGAUCCUCUUCUGUGGUAUGAUAUAGAAAAUAAAGAAGGAAAACCAUUUAUAAGGACCCCUCUG
rnacentral:lncRNA from 1 species